rnacentral:rRNA from 1 species
AUUGAACGCUGGCGGAAUGCUUUACACAUGCAAGUCGAACGGUAGAGGGGGCAACCCCUCGAGAGUGGCGAACGGGUGAGUAAUAUAUCGGAACGUGCCCAGUCGUGGGGGAUAACGUAGCGAAAGUUGCGCUAAUACCGCAUACGAUCUAAGGAUGAAAGCGGGGGAUCGCAAGACCUCGCGCGAUUGGAGCGGCCGAUAUCAGAUUGGGUAGUUGGUGGGGUAAAGGCUCACCAAGCCAACGAUCUGUAGCUGGUCUGAGAGGACGACCAGCCACACUGGAACUGAGACACGGUCCAGACUCCUACGGGAGGCAGCAGUGGGGAAUUUUGGACAAUGGACGCAAGUCUGAUUCAGCCAUUCCGCGUGCAGGAUGAAGGCCCUCGGGUUGUAAACUGCUUUUGUACGGAACGAAAAGGUCUCUCUUAAUACGGGGGGCUCAUGACGGUACCGUAAGAAUAAGCACCGGCUAACUACGUGCCAGCAGCCGCCGUAA